ACAUUGCCAAGGCCUAGAGAGAAGCAAAGGUCAAGACUUGUCAUCAGUUCAAGCCAACUCAAACAUUCAUUCACUUUGGAAGAAAAGAUCAACAGAGGGGGAUUUGAAGACUGUGUGACUGUGAUCCAUCAAAACCUAUUGUAAUCACAGAUAAGGCCAUGAAGGUAAGCAAGUAGACAUCAACGCAAGUAUUGCUGCAGUAUUUUUCUUGAUCCACCAGCAGACCAUGUUUCUGAGACAAGCUUGCAGUUGCAUGCACAGGAGUUUUGUACCUUGCAUUUAACUCUUUCUUGAGAGCUGUAGUCCAUGCCAUCAAAGGCCGAGGCCAAGGUAAGGAAGCCAUUUUUGAAUGGUGGUAGGACCAAGAAAGGGACAGGGGAAGGCGGAGGCAGUAGCAGAUGGCCAGGGGAGAGGAACCUUAAACAUCAAACCAGCUUAGUUUUCCACAAAGGAAAAGUAAAAGAAACCUUGAUGCACCCCACCACCACCGCACCCUGCACGGAAGGUGCAUGUUGAACAGAUGGAAUACAGUGUAUCUGCACCCACAGAUACAGUGUGACGGACAUCAGACUUCCAACCUCCCACCCAACACACACAUAGAAAAUGCAGCAGCAGAACCUGCCAAGAGGAUCAGCACUACAUGUGUUUCCUUUGAAGCAAAUCUCCAAUCACCACAUCUCUUCCUUUCUUGGCUGGCCUUUUGUGCUUUCUCUUUGCUCUCCUUGUGUUUCUGUCUCGAAAUCUUAGGAAAAGAGACAAGAGAACACAUGCGCUUGUCAUUCUCCUUUCGGCGUUUUUGAUGCAGAUUUAAAGAGAAAAUCCACUCUCGGAGGGAUAGGGUGACAUGGAGCAAACCGAUUUUUAAGCGUGGGAAGAGAUUACAACAAAGGCAACUUGUCAUACUUGUUGGUCUUUUCCAUAGCUUGUGCUUGGUGUGAGCUUGGCACAAUCCAAAUCCAAGCAAGGCAUUGGUGUCAUCUUUCAGCAGAAGCAGUUCACUUCACAGAUCUGAGAGAAGGAUUCUGAACAGGAAUGCUGUUCUAAGUGACUGUUAGAUCUCAGAUCCUGGCAAGAAGGCAUUUAGUGAAAGCAUCUACUGAACCGAGAGAAGGAUCCUGAAAAGGGAAGACUGUGCCAAGUGGACAUUGAUCUCAGAUUUUGACGAGAAGGCAUUUAGUGAAAGCAUCUACUGAUCUUAGAGCAGAUUUGAGCUGUGGGCAACUCAUCGGAUGGAACUUGAAAUCGCACUUCCAAAUGUAUUUUGAGUUGUUGAGCUAUCAGUCAAGGACACCAAACGAUCAGAUUGAGGUACAAGCUCACUGGGUUGGAUUCAUGGAUGCCAGAAUGAGGAGGAACACAUUUGCAAGUGGCUCAAGCAUGGAGUAUAAGAGAACCCCAAUGAUGCAUCAUGAGCCCGAUCGCAGAACUUCUCCAUCAACCUAUUUCAGCAUUGAAUCGUUUCUGCUACUUGCCUUUGUCACUGCAUCACUGCUGGUACUUCCACUCAUACUGCCUCCAUUGCCACCUCCGCCUUCCAUGUUGCUUCUUCUACCCAUUGGCCUUCUCGUUGUGCUUUUGAUCCUGGCUUUUAUGCCUUCGGACAUACGAAACAUCGCAUCUUCCUACUUGUAAGUACGCUGCGAGCUUUUCAUCUUUGAAGCUGAUGAGUGAGUACAUCUUUCUUCAUUUAAUUCUUUUGAAUGCCAUUCAUGGACUUGAACUUCUUGGUCACAAAAAGCUAAUGAAGCCGAUGAAAGUGAUGCUAUCUUUUAACAUCAUGUUACGGUAGUUCUCCACAAGAAUUAUGAAUUCUAUCAGAGAAGUGAAUCUUGAUGCAUCUGAGCUUGAAAUUUUCCAUGAUCCUUCUGAUCAAAUAGUGGACAUUUGCAUCGUGCUGGCAAGCAGAUAGCUUCAGCUAAGAAUCCAAGGCUCAUGAAACAUGGAACGUUCUGAACUGUCAUGGACAAAAGGAAAAGGAAAUCUCAUCUCUGUCGAGUUCUGACAGAGAAUCCAGAGAGGACAUGUCAUGGACAAAAAAAUAUUGAACAAGAAAGAUGCAGAUGCCGAGAGGAGGAAGAUUUUGGUGCUUGGUUGUUUACAGUAGAGGGAGAUUUCCUUUUCCUUGUGCCACUUGUGUCUUUCUGCAUCAUCCAACAUGU